rnacentral:rRNA from 1 species
CCUACGGGAGGCUGCAGUGAGGAAUAUUGGUCAAUGGGCGCGAGCCUGAACCAGCCAAGUAGCGUGAAGGAUGACUGCCCUACGGGUUGUAACUUCUUUUAUAAAGGAAUAAAGUGAGGCACGUGUGCCUUUUUGUAUGUACUUUAUGAAUAAGGAUCGGCUAACUCCGUGCCAGCAGCCGCGGGAAUACGGAGGAUCCGAGCGUUAGCCGGAUUGAUUGGGUUUAAAGGGAGCGUAGAUGGGUUGUUAAGUCAGUUGUGAAAGUUUGCGGCUCAACCGUAAAAUUGCAAUUGAUACUGGCAGUCUGGAGUACAGGUGAGGUAGGCGGAAUUCGCUGUGUAGCGGUGAAAUGCUUAGAUAUCAGGAAGAACCCCGAUUGCGAAGGCAGCUUACUAAACUGUGACUGACAUUGAGGCUCGAAAGUGUGGGUAGCAAACAGGAGUAGAUACCCCAGUAGUC